CUGAUGUUUGGCCCUGGCACCAGUUUAGUAUGUUUGAUGAAAUCUGGUCCCGGUGAUAAUUUCUCCCCGUCACGCUCCCGUAAUGAGAGGUGUGGAGGCUCCAUAUGGCGGUGUUUGCGCUCGAGUACCCGUUGAGAAUGUCACUUGCUGAUACUAAAUCACCCAGCUUGAGAGUGUUUGUGAGCGUUGCAAGGGGGAUCCUGAGUUCAUCAGACCAUGCCACUUUGGCAUCUCUCUGCCAUGUGCCGCCUGCUGCCGGCUUGCCAAGACAUCGACGUUAAUGACCUGUGACUAUUGAAAGGCCUUUUCAUUUACAGUCACAGAGCUGUUAUUAAAUCCGGAGUGUGUGAUUUCUGAGCUGCUGACAUCACCAACUGGACUUGAAAAAAAAAAUGAGUAGUGAUUUGACAUUGGUUAUUUGAUGAUAGACCCACCCCUUUGGUUGAGUCAAUGUAUUCUCUGUUUGAAAAUGUUCAACAGACAAUUACAGAUAUAGUAGCUUUCUCAAGAUAUUAUGUACUGGUGCCAUAUUGGGUAAAGUCACAAAAAAAAAAUGCAUGGAUGAAUGUGUCGACGAAUUAUAAUAAAGUCAAUAACGUGCAUUUAGAAAAUACAUU